rnacentral:tRNA from 1 species
GCCCAGAUAGCUCAGUUGGUAGAGCAACGGACUGAAAAUCCGUGUGUCACUGGUUCGAUUCCGGUUCUGGGCA